GGUUGUACUGUCCCUUUAAGGAUCACUGCUUCUCAUACCUGUCUCCACCCUAUUUAAGGCACACCUGUUUCACUCAUUCUUUGCUUAGUAUUGAUAUACACUUCAAUUGCCUAGCCAGUUUUGUCUGAACUCUGCUCACUCAAAUUUGCUACCAGCAAGUUUUUCUUUGGAUUCAAGUUUUCUCACGAACUUUGCUGCUGUUGCUUUUUACUUGCAACCUUCAGUUUCCUCUGAAACUCCUGUGAUUUACUAACCUCCACUUCAAUUGUUUUCUUACAAUUACCUUGGACGCUACUGCUCCUGUCUCCUGUCUCAGCACUUCCACGGAGCUCCGCAACUACCGCGGUGACGUCACACGCCAGCUGCUCUCUCUCUCGCUACUCAGCUCUAGCCUGCUCUUCCGACUACGCUGUAAGUGUUACUACUUCUGACUCUCAGCCUUGAUAUGUGCCAGCACUAUAACGCUUACCAUUAUAAUAUUCUCAAAAUGCAUAUGUCUUCUUGUCAGUGUUCUUUUGUUUAUUAACAUUGUUCCAACCUUCGCAUAUAUCUACUCUCAUAUGUGAAGCUCCAAGUUUACUUACACAAGCCUGCUGACACUUCAUAUAAUUACUGAUCGUUCAUUCUGACCAUUUAUCUCCUAUAAAUUUGGGUAUUCUGAUUAACAUCUUACCGGAGGAACUGUGUUUCAUGUUUUCACUGCAGACUAGAGUGUAGCCACUCUUUUCAGCCUGCAAUAGGGUUAACAUAGCGAAUCUCCUCCUUUACAUUAAUUACAGCCUGCUGAUACAGGAAAGCCGCCUUCACACAUCCUGUGACUAUUGUGGUUUUCAGUAUCUUCUUGCUACAUACACUCUCUAUUGUUGCCACCUUCCAUCUCAGCAGUUGUGAUUCACCUGACCUGUUCAAAAUACUGUGUCUUUAUUUUAGAUUUCCUAAACCAGUAUGACAGAAUACUAAGCCCUUUUAAAACCUAUGGAUCCAGCUGAGAUUAACACUCACAUGCAGGCAUUAACACAAAGAGUAGAUUUGUUAACAAAUGGUUUAAACGCAUUAAAAGUGGAGAAUGAUAACCUUAAAGCAUACAUUAGGGAUGUAGUAGACAAAAGAACACCUAUAUAUGAACCCCAGGUUAGUCCUCCAGAUUGUUUCCAUGGAGACAGGACUCUCUACAGAGAGUUUAAAAAUGCAUGCCUGUUAUUGUUUGCUUUGAGACCUCAUACCUACCCAAACGAUAGGAUUAGAGUACUCACGACCAUAUCUUACCUUAGAGGUGAACCCCGUACAUGGGCAAACACUUACUUUGAGAAUAAUGAAGAGAUAUUGAAUUCUUUGGAUAAUUUUUUUGUCUCAAUGGAUCAAUUGUAUGAGGAUCCAUACAAACAGCUUACAGCUGAAAACGCCAUGCGUGGCCUUAAGCAAAAGAAGAGGGUAGUCGAAGACUACAUCACAGAAUUUAAAAAAAUGGGCAAAGGACUCUCAAUGGAACAAUCUGUCCCUUAGGAACCAGUUCAGACUCGGCCUCUCUGAGGGAAUAAAAGACGAGUUGUCUCGCACAGAUAUCCCAGAUACCUUAGAAGACCUCAUGUCACUUAGUAUUACAAUAGAUAGGCGCCUCAGGGAAAGGUACCAAGAAAAGACUGGGCAUGACUCUAACCCUAGGAAAACUUCCUACCCCACACAUGCCUCUUCCUUACACAAAAACACCCCUGAACCCAUGGACAUUGCCUUCAUCAAAGGUCCUCUGUCUCCUCAAGAGAAGCUCAGACGUCGUUCCAAUAAUCUAUGCCUGUACUGUGCCUCUGACGAACACACUGUGAAAGACUGCCCUUCUCUCCUAAAACAAAACAAGGUGGGAACAACUUCGUCUUCACGCCACCGCGAUAAUUGAUUCUGGUGCCACGGCUUCUUAUAUAGAUAAGGAAUUUUGCACUGUAAAUAAAAUACCACUGAUGCAGAAA